GGCGAGUGAAGCGGCAAAAGCUCAAAUUUGAAAUCUGGUACCUUUGGUGCCCGAGUUGUAAUUUGGAGAGUACCACUUUGGGACUGUACUUUGCCUAUGUUCCUUGGAACAGGACGUCAUGGAGGGUGAGAAUCCCGUGUGGCGAGGGUGUCAGUUCUUUGUAAAGGGUGCUCGAAGAGUCGAGUUGUUUGGGAAUGCAGCUCUAAGUGGGUGGUAAAUUCCAUCUAAAGCUAAAUACAGGCGAGAGACCGAUAGCGAACAAGUACAGUGAUGGAAAGAUGAAAAGAACUUUGAAAAGAGAGUGAAAAAGUACGUGAAAUUGUUGAAAGGGAAGGGCAUUUGAUCAGACAUGGUGUUUUGCGCCCCUUGCCUCUCGUGGGCUUGGGACUCUCGCAGCUCACUGGGCCAGCAUCGGUUUUGGCGGCCGGAAAAAACCUAGGGAAUGUGGCUCUGCGCCUCGGUGUAGAGUGUUAUAGCCCUGGGGAAUACGGCCAGCCGGGACCGAGGACUGCGAUACUUGUUAUCUAGGAUGCUGGCAUAAUGGUUAUAUGCCGCCCGUCUU
rnacentral:rRNA from 1 species